AACGCAUCUUGCGCUCUUUGGUAUUCCGAAGAGCAUGCCUGUUUGAGUGUCAUGAAACUCUCACCUCCAAUCUUUUUUAACUAGAAGGUUGGGGCGUGGACGUGAGUGCUGCUGGUGCCCUGGUUGCAUCGGCUCACUUGAAAUUCAUUAGCUGAAUCCUUUAAAGUAGGUUCUACUCGACGUGAUAAGAUCUCCGUCGAGGACAGUGCUUCGGCAUUGGCCAACGAUAAAGUUGAUACGCUUCUAAUUAGCGCAGACUUCGAGUGCUGGCAAUUUUGACAACUUGGCCUCAAAUCAGGUAGGACUACCCACUGAACUUAA
rnacentral:misc_RNA from 2 species